UGAUCUCAGUGCAUCGAUUUUCAAAGGACC
rnacentral:piRNA from 1 species